rnacentral:misc_RNA from 1 species
AAGUCGUAACAAGGUUUCCGUAGGUGAACCUGCGGAAGGAUCAUUGCAAAAAUGGAAGUGAGAAAUUUGUAGGAAUGUGUGCGGGAAAUCAAGUUUGACAACAAUACAUACUAUAUCAUCAUAUACAACUCUCCACAAUGGAUCUCUGGGCUCUU